AAAUAUGAGAGUAUCUUGGUAAAACUGAAAUUAUGAACAGUUAAAAUUAAAAUGGGUAAGAACAGCAAAAUGGGACCCUGAAGCCAAGUUUCUGUUUUCUUACUAGAAAGUAAUUAUAUAGAUCAAUGAACUCAUUGAGUUUAUUUUAUAUGAUAAUUUGGAAUAUAUAGAAUUCAGGUAUUAAAAUUUUGAAUAGUAUGGGCUACAGUUACUUCUCUAUUUUGAUAAAAUGAUAUGCCAGAAGCCAUCUUUUUGUGCAAAUUCUACUAUUUUCUAUUAGCUAGACUGUGUUCUACAUCAGUUAACAGUUCAUUUAUGUUUAUAUUCUUCACUAAAAUCUUCUCUGCUCUCCUUAUCUUUUUAUCUGUUAGAUUUAUUUCCUUUUUCUUGUGCAGAUAGGCCAGAUGCUGAACUGACAGCAAAUGCUGAAGAUAGAGUUGAGGGCAAUUCAAGCCUGAAGAGUAGAUGGCAUUCCAGGAAUAACAUUCGUUGAAUGAAGUUUAGAUUAAUAUACAUUUUU